GACGUAGGGCGCGAGCGUUGUCCGGAUUUAUUGGGCGUAAAGAGCUCGUAGGCGGCUCGUCGCGUCGGUGGUGAAAUUCCGCAGCCUAACUGUGGGCUUGCCGCCGAUACGGGCGGGCUGGAGUUCGGUAGGGGAGACUGGAAUUCCUGGUGUAGCGGUGAAAUGCGCAGAUAUCAGGAGGAACACCGAUGGCGAAGGCAGGUCUCUGGGCCAUUACUGACACUGAGAAGCGGAAGCAUGGGGAGCGAACAGG
rnacentral:rRNA from 1 species